AGUGAACGCUGGCGGUAGGCCUAACACAUGCAAGUCGAACGGCAGCACAGUGAGAGCUUGCUCUUACGGGUGGCGAGUGGCGGACGGGUGAGGAAUACAUCGGAAUCUACUUUUUCGUGGGGGAUAACGUAGGGAAACUUACGCUAAUACCGCAUACGACCUACGGGUGAAUGCAGGGGAUCUUCGGACCUUGCGCGAUUGAAUGAGCCGAUGUCGGAUUAGCUAGUUGGCGGGGUAAAGGCCCACCAAGGCGACGAUCCGUAGCUGGUCUGAGAGGAUGAUCAGCCACACUGGAACUGAGACACGGUCCAGACUCCUACGGGAGGCAGCAGUGGGGAAUAUUGGACAAUGGGCGCAAGCCUGAUCCAGCCAUACCGCGUGGGUGAAGAAGGCCUUCGGGUUGUAAAGCCCUUUUGUUGGGAAAGAAAAGCAGCAGGUUAAUACCCCGCUGUUCUGACGGUACCCAAAGAAUAAGCACCGGCUAACUUCGUG
rnacentral:rRNA from 1 species